rnacentral:rRNA from 1 species
GACGAACGCUGGCGGCGUGCUUAACACAUGCAAGUCGAACGAAGAGCGAUGGAAGCUUGCUUCUAUCAAUCUUAGUGGCGAACGGGUGAGUAACGCGUAAUCAACCUGCCCUUCAGAGGGGGACAACAGUUGGAAACGACUGCUAAUACCGCAUACGAUCUAAUCUCGGCAUCGAGGAUAGAUGAAAGGUGGCCUCUACAUGUAAGCUAUCACUGAAGGAGGGGAUUGCGUCUGAUUAGCUAGUUGGAGGGGUAACGGCCCACCAAGGCGAUGAUCAGUAGCCGGUCUGAGGGGAGGAACGGCCACAUGGGGACUGAGACACGGCCCAGACCCCUACGGGAGGCAGCAGUGGGGAAUCUUCCGCAAGGGACGAAAGUCUGACGGAGCAACGCCGCGGGAGGGAUGACGGCCUUCGGGUUUUAAAGCCUUUUUAAUCGGGAGGAAAGGCCUUCUUGCGAAAAGUGAGAAGGAUUGACGGUACCGGAAUAGAAAGCCACGGCUAACUACGU